UCCCCUCUGGUACGAAAAAAGGAAAAAAAAACACCAAGCGGAUGAAUCCAAGUAAGAGGGCCCUCCCUCGAAAGCUCUCGAAACUUCCUUGCAGCGUCAACGCGGAUUGGUGAGGAGACGAAGAUGAGGCCGGCGCUGAUUGGUGGAGGUCGCGGGCUGCUCGAUUGUUGCUGGGCUCGGGUUCUCGGGCAGUUUAACGUCGACGUUGCUUAGUAACCGAGUGCGCAUGUGCGGGCCCUCGGUCUAGGCGAGAGACGGCUGUGGGGCUGCUGGUGGUGGGGGAGGGGCGCCUUCUCUUCCCGCGUCCCGAGGUCCCCCGUGGUCUUCUCCCGCCCCUCGCUCGGCGGGUUCACGCCACAGGGGAGGAAUUGUGACCCCACGCUGCUCGCACUGGCUGGACGCUCUCUUCGUCCUGGCCCCUUCAGUGUGGACAUGGAUGCUUCCGCAGCCAGUGUUUUUAGUUGUUUUUGUCUUGUUGUUAGCCGCCCACCGGCCUAGAUGUGGGUGAGAGUGGGGUGGCUGCGGGGCUGGAAGCUGAGGAUUUACCUAGAAACCCAGCCCAGGGUCCCGCCGGACCUGUAGAUUCUCUACCUCCCCAGCAAUCUACAAACAAAGGAAGGAAAGAGGAGAAAUGCCUAUUAGACUCAGUACCCGGGGUUCACCCACCUCUCCCUCUGGGGUGCCUAUUGUGCAAAGGAAGGGAAGGGGCCUGUUAAUCCUAGAACCUCAGGACUAGGUUCUGAGGUCUUGGGUGUGGUUGCUUUUCGCUGAACAAGAUAAACCAGGAAGGAGCGGAGCGGCUCGGAUUGCGUUGUCAUGCGGAGUCACGAGGAUGACCACGUAUAUAACCUUGAAAACAGCUUUGUUUGCACAGGCUGCUGACUUCCGUACAGUAAGAAGUCUAGAAAUGUUAACAAAUAAACUUCACUCUGUAAAGGUUUACGAGUUGUUGCCAUACAACUGAAGGAAACGUGAGGAACAUAUCUGGUUUGCCUAGCAUGAACCAAAAAAAAGAAAAAAGCCCCAGUUUGAUUGCCCAGCCCCAAAGUCUGCUUUUUAGAAUAAAGAGGAGGUAGAAUUUUAUAUGAAGUGAAUUGAAAUUCAGAAAGCGUCUCCUUUGCAUAGUAUUUUAUUUUUAUUAGGCUGCGUGAGUCGGACCUGGUUUCAACAAGCAGAGUAUGUCUCUGAGUCAGACAUUUUGAGGCACAGAUUGAACUAGAAUGCAGAUCUUAUGACCGAUGUGAUCACUUCACUAGGGCAUGUGUCUCUUAGGAAGAGCUUUCACCCAGGUCUGGCCACUUGUCAGGCCACCUUGAAGGAGAACCUGGAGUCCUGACAGUGACGACCGUGGAGCCCACACUUCAUCAUAACUGCUUAGUUAUGCAUAGAACUGCCUUAUACUUAAAAUAUUUUCUAAUUUUUAAUUAUGUGUAUAUGUGUGGGUACAUGCAUGUAAAUACAGGUGGGGAAGGCACUGUA